rnacentral:rRNA from 1 species
GACGGGGGGGGCAAGUGUUCUUCGGAAUGACUGGGCGUCAAGGGCACGUAGGCGGUGAAUCGGGUUGAAAGUGAAAGUCGCCAAAAAGUGGCGGAAUGCUCUCGAAACCAAUUCACUUGAGUGGGACAGAGGAGAGUGGAAUUUCGUGUGUAGGGGUGAAAUCCGUAGAUCUACGAAGGAAGGCCAAAAGCGAAGGCAGCUCUCUGGGUCCCUACCGACGCUGGGGUGCGAAAGCAUGGGGAGUGAACAGG